AGCGAAGGACUACUCAAAGAACGUUGGGCUUUGGAUUUCCACCUUUUUAUUACAGAGGCAAGUAAGUACCGUACUGAAAGUAUCCAAUGAAUUUACUGAGUUUUCUCUGAAAUGGUUUUGACUUCAUGGUUGUUUCAGGCUUUACAAGACAUGGUUUCUGUACAAUCAGUACUUACUGUGACAUAGAAGUUACAGAAUGCUGCACUGUGAAGAAAGAGUUUUCCAGGUUAUAUUAUGUUUGAAAAGGAAGAACCAAUAAAAGUUGCAUUUCACUUGACAUCCUAAUCACAAAGAAUAGCUCAUGUUCCAAAGAAAUAACAGUUCCAUGAAUUUAUAAAUGCUUCCUAGGCAUCAAAACAGUUCAUGGUGUGAACCAUGAAUCCCAGUUAAACUGAAAAAUUUGAGCUGCAUUACUUCCCCCAAAAGCAGCAAAUCCCAGUGAGUCAAUCUGUUUAUUUAGCACCUGUGUGCUUGUAUAUCAGAACAUAUUUUGAGAUGUCUUCUGUCAGAUGCUUCUUGGCCAUUAUAGGUGCAGAUGUGGGAAGAAAUGCUUGGAGAAGCUGCAAAUGCGCACGUUACCUGCAUGGAGAAAGCACCAGAAAGCAUCUCUGAUCGUCAUCUUCAACCAUCAUAGAGUCUUUGGUCAAGUUUUGCAGGUCUACAGUUUUUCAGUGCUCACUGAACACCGAGGAGAGCACUUGCAAUCUAUGUACAGAUUUUGCUGCUGGAUUCCUCCUGGCCCACAGCCAUCCAAACUAGUAGCUGCAUAGGAGGUAUUACUCUGCACUGGCUUCAGCAGGCUCACCAAACAAAGAAAGCAUCUACACCAAGCCAAAGAUCGGAAGUUUCUACAGAAUGUGUGUAAAUGGCAACACUAUAAGUUUUCCAGCCUGGAUAAUUUUAGAUGUAUUUACAUGGAAUUAGAUAAGGCAAGUCUUAGAAGCCUUAAUUCAAAGUAUUUGAUUACCAAAUUUUUACAGGGCAAAUAGUCCUCAGAGUAUCUUUUGCGUGAGUUACAAUCUACCUCACCCUAUAGUUAUCCUCAGGGAGAGGAGAAUCAGCCUGACACAGAUACUCCCAAAGUUUGGCCUCAGAAUGAAAAAGUGUUUCAAUUGAAACUAAUACAUUUUUUCAAGAUUAUAUGCAGCUAAGUGCAGAAUACUGUAAUAGGAAAUGUCAAGCAACCUAAAUAACAUGCUAUCCCACCAAUCUUGUCUAUAAAAUGCAAGACAUUGCUAGAUGUAGGUAAGUAAUAUAGCAUAUAUGUUGCUUAUGUGUAUAUGAGUUUAGGCUUCUGUCCUCCUCUCUAAUGUCACUUGUCUUCCUAGACUUUAAACUGUUGAAGGUGUGUGAACAGUAUCUGUUGAAAAGUCUGACAGUGGCCUCAGGGUCCAAUGGUAAUACUAAUACUGGAGGAGAAUGAUAAAUCUGUAAAUCACUUUGGACAUCCUAUAAAAUUUAUUCCCAAGUCAUUAUUUUGAAGUUUAGGACUAGAAGGUGUAACUGUUUAUUGUCCAUUCUAUUUUAUUCCAUUUGGGUAUAUCUUAGUUUUUCUUUUCCUCUUUUUCAGAUGUAAUGGUAAUUAAUUUAAGGUUCUGCACUAUAAUAACCAUUCCAGCAGCCAGGGCUCCAAUUUUAUACUGUCAAAGGAGGGUCUUCAUAAAACUUAUCUUUCCCCAGGCUUUCUUUAUAGCUAAUUGAAAGCGUCCUGCAAAAGGUGGUUCAGAGCUGGACCCUAAUUAAGCUGCUCUGGUUUUUAUCUUGGAGAACUUUCUUUUCCUCAUUGAUUUUAGAAAGAACCCACAGAGAUUUUUCUCACAAAGCUUUUAAAUUCAUCACCUAUAUAAGUCAGUUAUCCCCUGUUUGCUGUUGAGUGAAUUCUGUGUAAUAAGAUAGUGAAGAUAGUGAUCAUCUCAGGCAUAUUAGAGUUCAUUUAAAAUAGCAAGUAAAUACUGGACAGUGAGUUUGUUACCUGUAGUUGAUAGACUUAAUUAUUGGUCUGCCACACAGAUAAAUUACUGAAUAUUUACAGCAUUGUAAUUGCCUUAGAGCACACAUAAUGAACAUAAUAAACUUUGCUACCCUGAUAAAUCCA
rnacentral:lncRNA from 1 species